rnacentral:rRNA from 1 species
UACGGGGGGGGCAAGCGUUGUUCGGAAUUACUGGGCGUAAAGGGCUCGUAGGUGGCCAACUAAGUCAGACGUGAAAUCCCCAGGCUCAACUUGGGAACUGCGUCUGAUACUGGAUGGCUUGAAUUCGGGAGAGGGAUGCAGAAUUCCAGGUGUAGCGGUGAAAUGCGUAGAUAUCUGGAGGAACACCGGUGGCGAAGGCGGCAUCCUGGACCGAUAUUGACGCUGAGGCGCGAAAGCCAGGGGAGCAAACGGG